rnacentral:rRNA from 1 species
UACAGAGGUCCCAAGCGUUGUUCGGAUUCACUGGGCGUAAAGGGUGCGUAGGCGGUCGGAUAAGUCUGGUGUGAAAUCUCACAGCUUAACUGUGAAACUGCAUUGGAUACUAUUCGGCUUGAGAGUUGGAGGGGGGACUGGAAUUCUUGGUGUAGCAGUGAAAUGCGUAGAUAUCAAGAGGAACACCAGUGGCGAAGGCGAGUCCCUGGACAACUUCUGACGCUGAGGCACGAAAGCUAGGGGAGCAAACAGG